rnacentral:rRNA from 1 species
CCCGCCUGCCCUGUGACUAUAUGUUUAACGGCCGCGGUAUUUUGACCGUGCAAAGGUAGCGCAAUCACUUGUCUUUUAAAUGGAGACCUGUAUGAAUGGCAAGACGAGGGCUAAGCUGUCUCCUUUUCCAAGUCAGUGAAAUUGAUCUCCCCGUGCAGAAGCGGGGAUAUUCUCAUAAGACGAGAAGACCCUAUGGAGCUUUAGACACAAGGCAGCCCACGUUAAACAGCCUCUCUUAAGGGCAUAAACUUAGUGGCACCUCGCCCAAUUGUCUUCGGUUGGGGCGACCGCGGGGGAAAGACUAGCCCCCAUGUGGAAUGGGGGUACAUACUCCCUGCAGCCGAGAAAAACUUUUCUAAGCAACAGAAAUUCUGACCAAAAAUGAUCCGGCAAGGCCGAUCAACGGACCCAGUUACCCUAGGGAUAACAGCGCAAUCCUCUCCCAGAGUCCCUAUCGACGAGUGGGUUUACGACCUCGAUGUUGGAUCAGGACAUCCUAAUGGUGCAGCCGCUAUUAAGGG